CCACCUACUCUUCUUCCUGAACUCCACUUCCCUGCCUUCUUUUCUCUGAUGGAAAAAAGUGAGAGAAAAUGUGUCUUCCCUCCAUUCUGUUAACCAACUCUGGGAAAGAGACAGUGCAGAGGUACUCUGGAGGAUAAUAGAACUAAUUGGACAAAGACAUCACAAUAGACAGAAGCACUCCAGAAACCUUGGUUCUGUGGCUAGGUCACUGGAAUGGGCAUCAGGAGAUGUGCAUUCUAUUCUGGUCACUGCUAUGACUUUGUGCAAGUCACUUCAUUUCUGUGUGUCUCUGUUCUCCCUCUUAUCUGCCUCUGUUAUAAUAUUGUUAUAAGACUAUUUAUUUGCCCCUCUGCUGCGUGGUAGCAGAUGUCAGGCUUUGUAGUCAGCUUUCUGUCGGAGGAGAAAUCACGGACAAGGAGUCUGGGUAUACUCUGUGCAGUUUGUUUUCUUUACAUGUAUAUGCAUAAGUCCUGGAACCGAGGUGGCCACAAAUGGCCCACAGGUCUUCUUGAAGGGAUCUCAGCCCAAACACCAAUGUCUGGAUCCCAGGAUGCAACUCUGCCUCAGUAAUUGACAGCAAACUCUCCUUCUGCUUGGCACGGAGCCCUUAAAAAACACUACAUCAGAAAACCAACAACAGGACAGCAUUUUUUUCCAAGACCAAAUACUUGCUUGUAUGUUAAGAAAAUGCUCAGAAUGAGUAAGUCUAGGGCUAACAGCACCAUCUAAUGACCAUAACAAUAACAAAAGCAUGUUGCAGUUUUCCCUGUCUAAAAUAAAGGGAUAUUCAGUCA